rnacentral:lncRNA from 1 species
UUAAGAGUUAUAGAAGAUAGUUCUUAGGAGUCUUGUACUUAAAGAACUCUACUCUAUAUAUAUCUCUACAAACCUAGUUCUGACGAAGGAGGAGAGGUUUCUUCUAUCUGCUCUCUACUAUAUUUUCCAUCUAAUUUAUCAACCAUUAUUUUCUCUAUUGUUUAUCUUCCAUAAACACCUUAAUUUUAGUUUUUAUUGUUCUU